rnacentral:rRNA from 1 species
AACGAACGCUGGCGGCAUGCCUAAUACAUGCAAGUCGAACGAGAUCUUCGGAUCUAGUGGCGCACGGGUGCGUAACGCGUGGGAAUCUGCCCUUGGGUUCGGAAUAACUUCUGGAAACGGAGGCUAAUACCGGAUGAUGACGUAAGUCCAAAGAUUUAUCGCCCAAGGAUGAGCCCGCGUAGGAUUAGCUAGUUGGUGGGGUAAAGGCCCACCAAGGCGACGAUCCUUAGCUGGUCUGAGAGGAUGAUCAGCCACACUGGGACUGAGACACGGCCCAGACUCCUACGGGAGGCAGCAGUAGGGAAUAUUGGACAAUGGGGGAAACCCUGAUCCAGCAAUGCCGCGUGAGUGAUGAAGGCCUUAGGGUUGUAAAGCUCUUUUACCCGGGAUGAUAAUGACAGUACCGGGAGAAUAAGCUCCGGCUAACUCCGUG